rnacentral:rRNA from 1 species
AUUGAACGCUGGCGGCAUGCUUUACACAUGCAAGUCGAACGGUAACAGGUUAAGCUGACGAGUGGCGAACGGGUGAGUAAUGCAUCGGAACGUGCCCAGUCGUGGGGGAUAACGCAGCGGAAGCUGUGCUAAUACCGCAUACGAUCUCUGGAUGAAGGCGGGGGACCGAAAGGCCUCGCGCGAUUGGAGCGGCCGAUGUCAGAUUAGGUAGUUGGUGGGGUAAAGGCCCACCAAGCCAACGAUCUGUAGCUGGUCUGAGAGGACGACCAGCCACACUGGGACUGAGACACGGCCCAGACUCCUACGGGAGGCAGCAGUGGGGAAUUCUGGACAAUGGGGGUAACCCUGAUCCAGCAAUGCCGCGUGCAGGAAGAAGGCCUUCGGGUUGUAAACUGCUUUUGUACGGAACGAAAAGCUCUGGGCUAAUACCUUGGGGUCAUGACGGUACCGUAAGAAUAAGCACCGGCUAACUACGUGCCAGCAGCCGCCGUAA